GUACACGCUGUGACUAGCAUAUCAAUAAGCGGAGGAAAAGAAACUAACAAGGAUUCCCCUAGUAACGGCGAGUGAAGCGGGAAGAGCUCAAAUUUGAAAUCUUAAAGGGUUUCCCUUUACGAAUUGUAGUUUAAAGAAGUGUUUUCUGUUGAGGUCUUGGUAAAAGUUCUUUGGAAUAGGACAUCAUAGAGGGUGAGAAUCCCGUAUUUGACCUUUACUUUCAACUUUGUGAUACACUUUCAAAGAGUCGGAUUGUUUGGGAAUGCAGUCCAAAAUGGGUGGUAAAUUUCAUCUAAAGCUAAAUAUUGGCGAGAGACCGAUAGCGAACAAGUACCGUGAGGGAAAGAUGAAAAGAACUUUGAAAAGAGAGUUAAACAGUACGUGAAAUUGUCAAAAGGGAAGCGUUUGACACCAGUGUUGUUUUUCUGAAAAUCAAUUAAAGAACUGUUUAUGCUAAGCUGUUUAGACUUUAUCAGCUAAUCUGUUUAGUUUUGAGCUUUUCUUUAAUGCACUUUUCAGUUAACAAGUCAGCAUCAAUUUCUUUUGCUGUAAAAAAGCUUGAGGAAGGUGGCUUGAGAUUCGUCUUAAGUGUUUAUAGCCUCUUGCCUAUGCAGUCGGAGAGAUUGAGGUCUGCUAGCGUAGAUCCUUCGGGCUAAAUGCAUUUGUGCUAAGUUAUAGCAUUUUAUAGACAACUUGUUGACUAUGAUUUGUCUUGUAGCUUACUCGCUUAUGUUAUUUUACCUACGCUUAGGAUGUUGACGAGACUGUCGAUCUCAUCUAUACAUGACUCUGUGCAUAUCAAUAAGCGGAGGAAAAGAGGGCUACUACCUACGCUUAGGAUGUUGAGUCGUAGAGCACGCAG
rnacentral:rRNA from 1 species